rnacentral:rRNA from 1 species
CCUACGGGUGGCAGCAGUGAGGAAUAUUGGUCAAUGGGCUUACGCCUGAACCAGCCAAGUCGCGUGAGGGAAGACUGCCCUAUGGGUUGUAAACCUCUUUUGUCAGGGAGCAAUUGGCGCUACGUGUAGCGUUAUCGAGAGUACCUGAAGAAAAAGCAUCGGCUAACUACGUGCCAGCAGCCGCGGUAAUACGUAGGUGGCGAGCGUUAUCCGGAAUGAUUGGGCGUAAAGGGUGCGUAGGCGGCCUGCUAAGUCUGGAGUGAAAGGUACCGGCUCAACCGGUACAGGCUCUGGAAACUGGCGGGCUAGAGAGCAGGAGAGGGCGGUGGAACUCCAUGUGUAGCGGUAAAAUGCGUAGAUAUAUGGAAGAACACCAGUGGCGAAGGCGGCCGCCUGGCCUGUUACUGACGCUGAGGCACGAAAGCGUGGGGAGCAAAUAGGAUUAGAUACCCCAGUAGUC